GACGAACGCUGGCGGCGUGCCUAAUACAUGCAAGUCGAGCGAGCGGAACCAACAGAUUUACUUCGGUAAUGACGUUGGGAAAGCGAGCGGCGGAUGGGUGAGUAACACGUGGGGAACCUGCCCCUAAGUCUGGGAUACCAUUUGGAAACAGGUGCUAAUACCGGAUAAUAAAGCAGAUCGCAUGAUCAGCUUUUGAAAGGCGGCGUAAGCUGUCGCUAAGGGAUGGCCCCGCGGUGCAUUAGCUAGUUGGUAAGGUAACGGCUUACCAAGGCGACGAUGCAUAGCCGAGUUGAGAGACUGAUCGGCCACAUUGGGACUGAGACACGGCCCAAACUCCUACGGGAGGCAGCAGUAGGGAAUCUUCCACAAUGGACGCAAGUCUGAUGGAGCAACGCCGCGUGAGUGAAGAAGGUUUUCGGAUCGUAAAGCUCUGUUGUUGGUGAAGAAGGAUAGAGGUAGUAACUGGCCUUUAUUUGACGGUAAUCAACCAGAAAGUC
rnacentral:rRNA from 1 species